UACGUAGGGCGCAAGCGUUGUCCGGAAUUAUUGGGCGUAAAGAGCUCGUAGGCGGUUUGUCGCGUCUGCUGUGAAAACCUGAGGCUCAACCUUGGGCUUGCAGUGGGUACGGGCAGACUAGAGUGCGGUAGGGGUGACUGGAAUUCCUGGUGUAGCGGUGGAAUGCGCAGAUAUCAGGAGGAACACCGAUGGCGAAGGCAGGUCACUGGGCCGCAACUGACGCUGAGGAGCGAAAGCAUGGGGAGCGAACAGG
rnacentral:rRNA from 1 species